AACUUAUCGAGAGUAGUGGAGGGACAAGGCCCUGUGAAGCUACAGCAGCCGGUUAGCAUUAAAAGCUGAUGUCUGGUGCUAAUUCCGACCCUAUGGAGGAGAGAUAAGUC
rnacentral:ncRNA from 24 species